AGACCAUUUUCACACCUUGAUUUGUCAAAGGCUGUGUGAGAUAUGAUCACAAUGGUACACAGAUUUCUUAUCAAAAAUGUAGUCUCCCUCAAUUCACAGUGCCUCUGAUACUUACGAAGAAAUUGGACUUAUUUAGUGUGGGGGUAUAGGGGUGGAGGGAUGCCUAGGUAUAUAGAGAUCAGAGGAUAAUGUGCCAGUUUUUCCUUCCAGUAUGUAAGUCCUGGAGAUUAAACUCAGUUUACCAGAUGUGGCUGCAAAUGUUUUACCCAGUGAGGCAUCUGUACACACCAUACUUAAUGUUUAAAUUUGCCAGUGAUUUAUUGAGACAAGGGUCUUGUUCUGAAGCCCAGACUAGCCUGGAGCUCAUCAUGUACCUCAGGCUAGCCUUGCUCCUUUCACUGUUUUUGCUUCUUAAAUGUUAGGAUUGUACAUGUGUGCCAGCAGUUCCAACACAACUUAAAGGGUCAGGAGGGCGGGAUACACUCACAUAAUCCUGGGCAAUCAAUUCCUCUAGCCGAGAUCUUUACAUAGGAAAAAUCGUUAAAUUAAUGAAACACUUUUGGACAAAGGAGACCAUGAUUCUCAUUGCUGUGAACCCGUGAGUACACACAUUCCUGCAUUUAGACAUUUUGGAAUAUUGUCGACAAAGGACAGCACGGCAGCUGUGCUUCUCGACUUUAAGGAGUUUGCAGCCUGGUUGAGAUAAGAGGCUGUGUAUAAGAUAAGCCAUGGUACAAAGCAAUAUGGGAUCAGUGUGGAAAACUGAAGGACUUGAAAAGAUAGAGAGAGGGUUCUUUAAGUUAGGGUACAGUGAGGAGGGUAGGAAGAAUGACUUAAACUUAUGAAGAGAGUUCUGUGUGAUAACUGCUGAUCACACGUUCUGUAGGUGUUCACUCAUUUGAUCUUUGUGUGAUAAUGUGUCAGCCAGGCAAAACAGAGCUCUGAAACUAAGCAAGGAUAUAGUCAGCACAUCCAGGGGAUGCUGGGGCCUCUGUCAGGUUCUGGGUGCCCGACUCUAGAACCACAGUCAUUUUAAUGCCUAAGAAGCCUGGGAAGACUUGAGCAAAGGGAAGCUUUAACCAAAGAAAGCAAACCAUGCCCUGAAGCAAAGGCUACAGGGAAAUAUUAAAGGGUGUGGCUUGGACUUGAUCCCAAUAAGUAGUUGGAGAACCAGUGAAUGAACUUGGAAAGAAAAUGUCAUGAUUACCUUGAGGGGACAGAAGUCACCAUGUGUUGUGUGGCAGCCACUGGGAUUAGACCUUGGGCUUUCUGAUCAUUUCUGCUCACUCUGUCCUGUGUGCUGUCCCUUUGACUUUCAGUUAGCUCCUUCCCCCUUGGUCUUGUGGGAUCAGUAACUCCCAGUGCUCAGUGACCAAGGAAAUAGGUGCACACUGUCUCUUUGGUUAUUGGGGCUUUCUGAAUAACUCUCAGGACCCCAAGACCCUAUUGCAGAAGCUUCCAUGAAAAGUAGAAGGUAAAACAGCAUAGUCUCCCUUUCAGGAUCUCUGGAUUUGAUGUAGAACAAACAAAUAACUCAGAUUUCAGGGCAUCCUUAGGAAUCCAGAAGGAUGGUAACACAUGGAGACACUACUAGGAUAGUGAUGGCCUGUUGUCCUAACAGGUUCUCAUUUAGUCCCUAGGGGCUGACUAGAAGGAUCUCUGUCAACUAAUGAAGACUGUGCUUAGGGGCAGGCUAGGUCUGUAGCCAUUAUUUUCCACUUCAGAGUGAUUAAUUCGUGAUUUCAGUGCAAGCCCCAAAUCAAUGUGUAACACUGGAGGUGGCACAAAGAAGCCAAUGUUCAAUAUUAAGGUACACAGGGCGCCUG
rnacentral:lncRNA from 1 species